GGCCGGUGCGUCUUAUAGGGCGAAAAAUACGGUAUAUAUUAUGAAAAAAUAGAACAGCAGACUAAAAUACUGUAUAUCCUUUAGGAUAGGAUAAAAACUCCCAGAGUCACUUGGAAAUUAUUGACAGGUGUCACAGGUAGCACAGAUGGCUGGCGAUGAGCCAGGGGUCUAGUAUGGGGCAAAGAGUAGUGCCAAUAUCCUUACUGGGGCAGAAAAGGGGUUAAUUAAUGUAUUAUUUUACAGUAUUAGGUGGCACAAAGCCACAUGGGGCAUAAGAGACUUAUAUUUUACAGAAUGGUGCCACUCAAGCACAGGACACGAGUAUAUACACAC